rnacentral:rRNA from 1 species
GACGAACGCUGGCGGCGUGCCCAAUACAUGCAAGUCGAACGCUGAAGAGAGGAGCUUGCUCUUCUUGGAUGAGUUGCGAACGGGUGAGUAACGCGUAGGUAACCUGCCUUGUAGCGGGGGAUAACUAUUGGAAACGAUAGCUAAUACCGCAUAACAAUGGAUGACACAUGUCAUUUAUUUGAAGGGGGCAAUUGCUCCACUACAAGAUGGACCUGCGUUGUAUUAGCUAGUAGGUGAGGUAAUGGCUCACCUAGGCGACGAUACAUAGCCGACCUGAGAGGGUGAUCGGCCACACUGGGACUGAGACACGGCCCAGACUCCUACGGGAGGCAGCAGUAGGGAAUCUUCGGCAAUGGGGGCAACCCUGACCGAGCAACGCCGCGUGAGUGAAGAAGGUUUUCGGAUCGUAAAGCUCUGUUGUAAGUCAAGAACGGGUGUGAGAGUGGAAAGUUCACACUGUGACGGUAGCUUACCAGAAAGGGACGGCUAACUACGUG